rnacentral:rRNA from 1 species
CAGCAGCCGCGGGAAUACGUAGGUCCCGAGCGUUGUCCGGAUUUAUUGGGCGUAAAGGGAGCGCAGGCGGUUUAGUAAGUCUGAAGUUAAAGGCAUUGGCUCAACCAAUGUAUGCUUUGGAAACUGUUAGACUUGAGUGCAGAAGGGGAGAGUGGAAUUCCAUGUGUAGCGGUGAAAUGCGUAGAUAUAUGGAGGAACACCGGUGGCGAAAGCGGCUCUCUGGUCUGUAACUGACGCUGAGGCUCGAAAGCGUGGGGAGCAAACAGGAUUAGAUACCCCCGUAGUCCCUGUCUCUUAUACA